GUGUUAGCAAUACACAUGGGUGGCGAGUGGCGGACGGGUGAGGAAUACAUAGGAAUCUGCCCUGUAGCGGGGGAUAGUCCGGGGAAACUCGGGGUAAUACCGCAUACGACCUACGGGUGAAAGAGGGGGUCGAAAGACCUCUCACUAUAGGAUGAGCCUAUGUCCGAUUAGCUAGUUGGUGGGGUAAAGGCCUACCAAGGCGACGAUCGGUAGCUGGUCUGAGAGGACGACCAGCCACACCGGAACUGAGACACGGUCCGGACUCCUACGGGAGGUAGCAGUGGGGAAUAUUGGACAAUGGGGGAAACCCUGAUCCAGCAAUGCCGCGUGUGUGAAGAAGGCCUUCGGGUUGUAAAGCACUUUAGGCUGGGAAGAAAAAGCGUUACCUAAUACGUAACGCCUUGACGGUACCGGCGGAAUAAGCACCGGCUAACUCUGUGCCAGCAGCCGCGGUAAUACAGAGGGUGCAAGCGUUAAUCGGAUUUACUGGGCGUAAAGCGUGCGUAGGCGGUUCAGUAUGUCGGUCGUGAAAUCCCCGGGCUUAACCUGGGAACUGCGGCCGAAACUGCUGGGCUCGAGUGUGGUAGAGGGCGGUGGAAUUCCGGGUGUAGCGGUGAAAUGCGUAGAGAUCCGGAGGAACAUCAAUGGCGAAGGCAGCUGCCUGGGCCACAACUGACGCUGAGGUACGAAAGCGUGGGGAGCAAACAGGAUUAGAUACCCUGGUAGUCCACGCUGUAAACGAUGAGAACUAGACGUUGGCCAGCUUGGUCUGGUCGGUGUCGUAGCUAACGCGCUAAGUUCUCCGCCUGGGGAGUACGGCCGCGAGGUUGAAACUCAAAGGAAUUGACGGGGGCCCGCACAAGCGGUGGAGUAUGUGGUUUAAU
rnacentral:rRNA from 1 species